UCAAAUGCUCUACCCCUGAGCUACACCCCCUACUCUGACGUUGUGACCGCUGCACCUGGGCUGAUUGUACCCCAGACCAGGGGCAAUGUCACCUGGCACCACCCUUUCCCACUACUCUUCCCUCUCGAGAGAGACUGGGGUUUCACACAGAGCAGUCGAGCCCCAUAAAUAGCAGCUGGCCACUCACAGGCCAACCCUCCCAGGCCCCAAAAAGGAAGUGAGAGACAGGCAGACACUUCUGUUCUUCCUGCAGAAAGUGCUGCUUCUGCAGUGACUCGUCAGAUGCUCCCCAGAGCCCAGCACAGACCCGGCUCCACCCACUUCUGUGGGUUGGCCAGAUGAGUGAGAAACACAGGCACAGCCAACGAGAGGGAGCUGAGGCCGGACCCAGGAGUCUUUUUCCUAUGGUCCUGCCUGAUAUAGUAACCGGGAAAGGGAUGAAUGUGAUGCAAUGUGCUCUUGUAAUGGAGCAUCACAGAACAGGUCAAAGACACAAGCCACACAGCAACGAGCGCGGACAGGCAGGGCAGAGCACAGCUGCACCCCCAUCAGGUACAUUUCAGGUGCUCAGCAGUGCACUUGUGCUUUGUGGCUGCCUUCUGGACAGCAUGGAUGCAGACCGCCUCCAACCAUCCCAGAAAGUUCCAUCACAGGCACUGAGCCAAAACUGGCCAUGGUGAUGGAGCUGCCAGGAGGGCGAAGCCCAAUCUCACUUUGGUCAACAUGGUCAACAUGUCAGGGAAGGGUAUCCAGGGACAGGUGCCCAGGGGCGGGUGCCCAGCUGCAGAAAGGUCUUCAGGGAACCUCCCUGCUCAGAGGCACUCUCUCAAUGUCAUCUCCUGCCUCCCAGCCCAAUCACACUACAUCCUGUCUUGGCUGCUCUCCUCCACUCUGCCCCAAGCCUGAAGCCAUCUGUCCUUCCUCUAAGCUCCAGGAGUCUCUGGGAAGUGUUUAUGGGUUAACUCUGUUGGAAUGCACAGGGAUUGCUCAGAAUAAAGCUCACCAGCCUUUGUUGGCCUGGAGGCCCUGCCUGCCCUGCCUCUACUGCCUCUCUGUCCUCCCCCCUGGCUCUCUCCACCCCAGCCUAGGUUCCCCAAACACAUCAGGCAGGGCCUGCUUGCGGCCUUUGCAGCUGCUGUUCCCUCUGCUCAGAAUGCUCUUCCCCAACGCCCCCGGUCAUCCCCCUGCCCCCCACUGCUUCAGUCAGAUAUCUCAAAUAUCACCUCAUCAGAAAGCCUCCCAUUCUAGCCGAAAGAGCUCAGGUAUAUGCACACUCACACACA
rnacentral:lncRNA from 1 species